UUACGGCGCUCAGCAUCAGAGCUUACCUACCCUUGACAUGUCUAGAAUGGGCACCAGAGAUGGAGUCCUUCACUUCGGCUGGCUAAAACACAGGUGCUGCAUGGCUGUCGUCCGCUCGUGGCGUGAGAUGUUGGGUUAAGUCCCGCAACGAGCGCAACCCUCUUCUUUAGUUGCCAUCAUUUAGUUGGGCACUCUAAAGGGACUGCCGGUGAUAAGCCGGAGGAAGGUGGGGAUGACGUCAAGUCCUCAUGGCCCUUACGGGUAGGGCUACACACGUGCUACAAUGGUGGUGACAGUGGGCAGCGACACAGUGAUGUGAUGCUAAUCUCUAAAAGCCAUCUCAGUUCAGAUUGUACUCUGCAACUCGAGUACAUGAAGUUGGAAUCGCUAGUAAUCGUAAAACAGCAUGCUACGGUGAAUACCUUCCCGGGCAA
rnacentral:rRNA from 1 species